CGAGUAGAUCGGCGACCCNUCCGACCCGUCUUGAAACACGGUCCAAGGAGUCUAACAUGUGAGCGAGCGAUCGGGUGCCUCCAGACCCGGACGCGCAAUGAAAGUGAAGGCCCGGACAGCCCCGGGCCGUGGGGCGACCCCGUCGCCUCGGCGGCGGAGGGCGCAGCCCCGGGACGCGCCGAUCGCCUCGUCGACGGCUCGUACCCCGAGCGUACACGUUGGGACCCGAAAGAUGGUGAACUAUGCCUGGCCAGGACGAAGUCAGAGGAAACUCUGAUGGAGGUCCGUAGCGAUUUUGACGUGCAAAUCAAUCGUCCGAGCUGGGUAUAGGGGCGAAAGACUAAUCGAACCAUCUAGUAGCUGGAUCCAUCCGAAGUUUCCCUCAGGAUAGCUGGCGCUCGCANGACCGAGUUUCAUCCGGUAAAGCGAAUGAUUAGAGGCCUUGGGGCCGAAACGANCUCAACCUAUUCUCAAACUUUAAAUGGGUGAGAAGUCGGGCUUGCUCGACUGAAGCACCGACCNUNGAAUCNAGAGUGCCAAGUGGGCCACUUUUGGUAAGCAGAACUGGCGCUGUGGGAUGAACCAAACGCAGAGUUAAGGUGCCCGAGAGAACGCUCAUCAGAUCCCAUGAAAGGUGUUGGUUGCUAUAGACAGCAGGACGGUGGCCAUGGAAGUCGGAA
rnacentral:rRNA from 1 species